rnacentral:tRNA from 1 species
GGGCGCGUGGCCUAGCCAGGAUAUGGCACUGGCCUUCUAAGCCAGUGAUCGCGGGUUCGAAUCCCGCCGCGCCCG